rnacentral:rRNA from 1 species
AUUGAACGCUGGCGGCAGGCCUAACACCUGCAAGUCGAACGAGUGGCGGACGGGUGCGUAAUGUCUGGGAAACUGCCUGAUGGAGGGGGAUAACUACUGGAAACGGUAGCUAAUACCGCAUACCAUCGGAUGUGCCCAGAUGGGAUUAGCUGGUUGGUGGGGUAAAGGCUCACCAAGGCGACGCUCCCUAGCUGGUGUGAGAGGAUGACCAGCAACACUGGGACUGAGAAAAGGUCCAGACGCCUACGGGAGGCAGCAGGGGGGAAUAUUGCACAAUGGGCGCAAGCCUGAUACAGCCAUGCCGCGUGUAUGAAGAAGGCCUUCGGGUUGUAAAGGACUUUCAGCGGGGAGGCGUUACCCGCAGAAGAAGCACCGGCUAACUCCGUGCCAGCAGCCGCGGUAAUAC